rnacentral:rRNA from 1 species
AUUCCAGCUCCAAUAGCGUAUAUUAAAGUUGUUGCAGUUAAAAAGCUCGUAGUUGAACUUUGGGCUUGGAGAAUCGGUCCAACUUUGUUGUGUACCGUCUUCUCCAGGUCUUUCCUUCUGGUUCUCAUUUGGGGUUUACUCCAUUUGUUGAUCCAGGAUCUUUACUUUGAAAAAAUUAGAGUGUUCAAAGCAGGCGUUUUGCUCGAAUAUAUUUGCAUGGAAUAAUAGAAUAGGACGAUUGGUUCUAUUUUGUUGGUUUCUAGGACCAUCGUAAUGAUUAAUAGGGACGGUCGGGGGCAUCAGUAUUCAGUUGUCAGAGGUGAAAUUCUUGGAUUUACUGAAGACUAACUACUGCGAAAGCAUUUGUCAAGGACGUUUUCAUUG